GUGCUCCUGACCUACUUUCUCUUUCUAGCUGUGAGAACUCUGCAGAUGAGUACUUGACCAUCUUUCACCCAGUCUCCAGCAAUGCAAGAGUGCUGUUCCCUUCCCAUCUGAAAAGGUUUGAAGUGAAAAUGUUUUCCUUCACAAGCGGCCAGGAUGCACUGAAAGGACAGAUUUACUUCCACUGCAGUGUUGUGAUAUGUGAUUCAAACCGGCCAUCAGACAGCCUCUGUAGCAGACGGUGCAUUCCAGGAAAACAGAGGCUUGGUCGCAGUGCUGAAGGGAUGGAUGGUGGUGCAGUAAAGGCGUUUGUGUCUUCUGGCCCAAUUGAGCUGAAGAGAGAUGGAUCCCUUCACUUUAUGCCUAGAAGCGCCCAAUUCAAUGCGUGGUCCGUUCUGGGAGCUGCAAUGGGUGUGUGUUCAGUGGUUGUCAUUGUAGCUGGAGUUGUAUCUUUCUGGAAAAUGCCCAAAAGUGUGUAUUGAUAAAUAAAUAAAAAUCUUGCUUGUAAAGGCUGUCUGGAUUGUGUGGGGUGUGUGGGGUUUUUUUUUUUUUGUUUGUUUGGGUGCUUGACUAAUUCUACACAGAUUAUAUAUUGGUGUGUGUCAGAAUGGCCAUGUUAAUGGGAUUCUCUCCUCUUACUGCUUUGCUUGUUUCCUGAUCAGGCCAUUCUCAAUAUGGUGUGUUAUUCAAGGACCCUUCAUUAAUUCAUUGUGAAGCCGGGGCAAAGACUUUCCUCCUCCAUUGAGCUGUAACCCUAUUUUUAUAUUCCUUCUUGCUUUGACAUGCUACUUUCAGUAUGCAAAAUUUAGGGUGAAAUUAUCAACACUCUAUAAUAUAUAAUACCAUGUUAUAGCAUCACAAAGUGUGUAGAUUUAUAUGGGCUGUCUUUUUUUCUGU